AUUUAUAUAGUAUAAAAGUAUAUGUGACUUCCAAUUACAAGGGCUAUAAUUAUUAUAGUAUAAAUA
rnacentral:tRNA from 1 species